AACGCGAAGAACCUUACCUGGGCUCGAAGCGCAGUGGACCGGGGUAGAAAUAUCCCUUCCCCUUAAAAGGCUGCUGCGGAGGUGCUGCAUGGCUGUCGUCAGCUCGUGUCGUGAGAUGUUGGGUUAAGUCCCGCAACGAGCGCAACCCUUAUCCCUAGUUGCCAUCGGGUCAAGCCGGGCACUCUAGUGAAACCGCUUCGGAUAACGGAGAGGAAGGUGGGGAUGACGUCAAGUCAGCACGGCCUUUAUGUCCAGGGCUACACACGUGUUACAAUGCAUGGUACAGACUGUUGCGAACCCGCGAGGGGGAGCUAAUCGGCCAAAGCCAUGCUCAGUUCGGAUUGCAGUCUGCAACUCGACUGCAUGAAGCUGGAAUCGCUAGUAAUGGCGCAUCAGAUCGGCGCCGUGAAUACGUUCCCGGGCCUUGUACACACCGUACGUC
rnacentral:rRNA from 1 species